GAUGAACGCUGGCGGCGUGCCUAAUACAUGCAAGUCGAGCGAAUGGAUUAAGAGCUUGCUCUUAUGAAGUUAGCGGCGGACGGGUGAGUAACACGUGGGUAACCUGCCCAUAAGACUGGGAUAACUCCGGGAAACCGGGGCUAAUACCGGAUAACAUUUUGAACCGCAUGGUUCGAAAUUGAAAGGCGGCUUCUGCUGUCACUUAUGGAUGGACCCGGGUCGCAUUAGCUAGUUGGUGAGGUAACGGCUCACCAAGGAAACGAUGCGUAGCCGACCUGAGAGGGUGAGCGGCCACACUGGGACUGAGACACGGCCCAGACUCCUACGGGAGGCAGCAGUAGGGAAUCUUCCGCAAUGGACGAAAGUCUGACGGAGCAACGCCGCGUGAGUGAUGAAGGCUUUCGGGUCGUAAAACUCUGUUGUUAGGGAAGAACAAGUGCUAGUUGAAUAAGCUGGCACCUUGACGGUACCUAACCAGAAAGCCACGGCUAACUACGUGCCAGCCGCCGCAGUAA
rnacentral:rRNA from 1 species